AACACGUGGGGAACCUGCCCCAUAGUCUGGGAUACCACUUGGAAACAGGUGCUAAUACCGGAUAAGAAAGCGGAUCGCAUGAUCAGCUUUUAAAAGGCGGCGUAAGCUGUCGCUAUGGGAUGGCCCCGCGGUGCAUUAGCUAGUUGGUAAGGUAAAGGCUUACCAAGGCGAUGAUGCAUAGCCGAGUUGAGAGACUGAUCGGCCACAUUGGGACUGAGACACGGCCCAAACUCCUACGGGAGGCAGCAGGA
rnacentral:rRNA from 1 species